CCUACGGGUGGCAGCAGUGGGGAAUAUUGCGCAAUGGGCGAAAGCCUGACGCAGCGACGCCGCGUGAGGGAUGAAGGUCUUCGGAUCGUAAAACUCUGUCAGCAGGGAAGAACGGUCACUGUGUUAAUCAGCAUUGAAUUGACGGUACCUGCAAAGGAAGCACAGGCUAACUCCGUUCCAGCAGCCGCGGUAAUACGGAGGGUGCGCGCGUGAAUCGGAAUUAGUGGGCGUAAAGGGCUCGUAGGCGGUAUGUCAAGUCAAGGGUGAACUCCCCGCGCUCAACGUGGGAAUUGCCUUUGAAACUGGCGAGCUGGAGUGUGUGGAAGGAUAGUGGAAUUCCAGGUGUAGGAGUGAAAUCCGUAGAUAUGUGGAGGAACAUCAGUGGCGAAGGCGACUAUCUGGCACAUAACUGACGCUGAGGAGCGAAAGCGUGGGUAGCGAACAGGAUUAGAUACCCCUGUAGUC
rnacentral:rRNA from 1 species